AUUGAACGCUGGCGGCAGGCUUAACACAUGCAAGUCGAGCGGGGGAAGGUAGCUUGCUACCGGACCUAGCGGCGGACGGGUGAGUAAUGCUUAGGAAUCUGCCUAUUAGUGGGGGACAACAUCUCGAAAGGGAUGCUAAUACCGCAUACGUCCUACGGGAGAAAGCAGGGGAUCUUCGGACCUUGCGCUAAUAGAUGAGCCUAAGUCGGAUUAGCUAGUUGGUGGGGUAAAGGCCUACCAAGGCGACGAUCUGUAGCGGGUCUGAGAGGAUGAUCCGCCACACUGGGGCUGAUACACGGCCCAGACUCCUACGGGAGGCAGCAGUGGGGAAUAUUGGACAAUGGGGGGAACCCUGAUCCAGCCAUGCCGCGUGUGUGAAGAAGGCCUUAUGGUUGUAAAGCACUUUAAGCGAGGAGGAGGCUACUCUAGUUAAUACCUAGGGAUAGUGGACGUUACUCGCAGAAUAUGCACCGGCUAACUCUGUGCCAGCCGCCGCGGUAA
rnacentral:rRNA from 1 species